rnacentral:lncRNA from 1 species
UCUCUUCCACAUUUGCUCCUCUGCUAGUCGGUUCUCAAAUAUCCUGUACUUUUCCUCACUUUGCACACUUUAAUUAUUGAAUGAUCAUUUAAUUGUUUGACGGUUGCAUCAAUCUGCAACAUCGAGCAGAAUGCCUGACAUAGUGAAGAUGCAUAAUAGCCUACAUCACGAUCACUUGACUGACGACUGGCAGAGCUGAAGAAACGAAACUGUCCAAACGAGAAGGUUUCCCGGGCCAAUGCAGUCAAACACGGACCUGGCUCCUAUGUACCUGUCCUCUUCUCUCUCUUCAGCAUCGCUCGCUUCGUCUCUUACUUUCUGUGGCUCAUUUUCUUUACAGAGGCAGGCACGGUAACGACAGUGUUCAGCCCAUAUUUGGAAACUUCGAUUUGUGUUGGACCUUGGAAAAACUACAGAUUGUGCAUAAUGCCUUGAGGAUCCGAUUUUUUAUCUCAGAAUAUGGCUUUUGAAUUUUUUCUCUGUUCCCUAGGCUCUAAGACCAAAUUUUAGGGUUCGUUUUUUGAUUUCUAAUAAACACACACACCUGACCAAAUCAA